UUCGCCGACAAAGUGCUCAGAUAGGUGAACUGGCUGAUCUCAAAGUAUCCACAUAGGAAACAGCUAUUGUGGUGAGGGAUUAAUGCUGCCAAUUUUUUUCUUACAAAGAAGAAAAGAGGACAACUCACUGGCUUUUCAUGGUAUACCCCACUCUCUCUGCUGUCUAUUGUUCAGUAUGUCACUGAAGAUGACCCAUUACUAAGAACAUCCUGUCCUCUUUGCAUGAGAAGCCCCUGUUUUUUAUAUGGUUUUGUUUGUUGGUGAGUGAGGGGGCUAUGUUACACGGACUCUUCAUAACAAAUCAAAUAUCUGUGUCGGACACUCGACACUUGGAUAGGGGUGUGGGAUGUGUCAGAUGCUUUCUAUCGAAUACUUCUUACAUAAUUUGUAUUUAAUAUAUGUUGGUGUGUAAUUGUCUUAAAAUUCUUUUGGAUACUGUAUGUUAUAUAUAACACCAUUUUAUCUCUCGCAAUAUAUUAAAAAAAUAAAAAUAUGACCUUUUUUUUUUAUUGUGUCUAUUUACACAACCGCACCCGAGUCCAUGUAACAUAAGGUGGGGGAGGCCUGUGAUUCUCGAAACUCGAGUCAAAAUUAUUGGUCUACUACCUCUUUUUACUGACAGAGACAAUGCAUGUUUGUUUUCCUCAGUAUGGAUUCCAUACAAACCCUACAAACAGUGUUUGUACUUGCAUACUUCUGGUACCUCAGGCAAAAAAAAAAAAAACAGUGGCUUAGCAAGAACUUAGAUGGGCAUUUCUCAGGUCAUAGUGAAACUGCAACGACAACCGUGGAUGUAGCCUUAACCACAUAAAUCUUUGUGUUAUUAUGUGUUUGAUUUAUAUUCUUGUUCGAUUUUUGUUUGUGUUUUGUGUCUCAUCGAUCCUAGUUAGUUGUAUCAAUUUUUAACAGUUUAAUCUUUUACACAGCUCCCAAACCCGGAAAAAUAGAAGGGUUAUGAACAUGAAUCCUAAUAUAAAUAUGCAAGUUGAUAUAGAUUAAUGGAAGUUGGUGUCA